UGAGCAUUAUUGUGUUUUACAAUUUUAAGGAGACAUUUUUUGAGGGAGCUACCUUAACAACAAAUUUAUAGUAUUGUCACUCCAAGCAUUUGGAGAAUUUUCUUGGAAACCUUGGCUCAUAGCAUUUGGAAUGGAUGCCACAAGCUGGAAUAUAUUAAGGAAAAGUAAGAACUUCAACCAAGUGGAAAAGUUUGAGAUCAACAGACGUGCCUUAUCUUUAAUUCUUUACCUGUUGAGAUCUCCAUUUUAUGAUCAGUAUUCAAAGUGUCAAAUUAUAGCCUUUCUUAAGAGCAUAAUUGAUAAUGUUAUAGGAAGUGGACUGAUACUGCGUAAGCUACAUUUUUAUUGUUUU